rnacentral:RNase_P_RNA from 1 species
AAAAGUAAUCAUGAUAAUCACUUGGUUCCUGUUUUUUGAAACUGGAGCUGGGAGGAAAGUCCGAACACGUUAGUUGGAUUGAGUCUCAUGAGUUAAUUCAACUGGAAGUAGCGGGUAACACCCGUCGGGAGUAAUCCUAGGGAUGCGAGCAGAGACGUCACGACUCGAGAGAGUCGUGGAGUCCCGCCAAGUGGCGGGAUGAUCUCCUAUGGCAACAUUGGAGCUGAAACGGCUAAAUUCCUAUUUCUAAGUGCAAUGUCAAAUAGGGGCUUAAAGCCCGGGUUGACAGCUAGAGGCUUGCAGCAAUGUAAGUCCCAGAUAGAUGAUUAUCUCCCCAGCCCUUGCGUGCAAGGGCUGGGUCAGACAGAAUUCGGCUUAUAGAUUACUUUUUCAA